AAUUAUGGUGGCUCAGGCGGGGCCGACUACGGUCGGGCCGGUUUCUUCGUUUACCGGUAUUCUCACCCCCGUCUGGGCUACCACCCCC
rnacentral:antisense_RNA from 1 species